UAGACAGUUUUGUUUGGUGACGAGUUUCU
rnacentral:piRNA from 1 species